rnacentral:rRNA from 1 species
AUUGAACGCUGGCGGCAGGCCUAACACAUGCAAGUCGAGCGGUAGAGAGAAGCUUGCUUCUCUUGAGAGCGGCGGACGGGUGAGUAAUGCCUAGGAAUCUGCCUGGUAGUGGGGGAUAACGUUCGGAAACGGACGCUAAUACCGCAUACGUCCUACGGGAGAAAGCAGGGGACCUUCGGGCCUUGUGCUAUCAGAUGAGCCUAGGUCGGAUUAGCUAGUUGGUGGGGUAAUGGCUCACCAAGGCGACAAUCCGUAACUGGUCUGAGAGGAUGAUCAGUCACACUGGAACUGGGACACGGUCCAGACUCCUACGGGAGGCAGCAGUGGGGAAUAUUGGACAAUGGGCGAAAGCCUGAUCCAGCCAUGCCGCGUGUGUGAAGAAGGUCUUCGGAUUGUAAAGCACUUUAAGUUGGGAGGAAGGGCAGUAAAUUAAUACUUUGCUGUUUUGACGUUACCGACAGAAUAAGCACCGGCUAACUCUGUGCCAGCCGCCGCCGUAA